rnacentral:lncRNA from 1 species
UCCCAGACAGAGACGAACCUUGAGUUUCGGGGGCAGGCUUCGGCAGCCGAAACUGCCUCCACAAGGGGGUUCGGCGGCCGAAAGUCACUUUCGGCGGCCGAACCUGAGUUUCUGCCGAAGGGCAGAAACUUGGCUCCCUUGUGUCCACAGCCUCCAAAACGUCUCAAAACCUGCAUAAACUUGUUUCUACUCAUGCAUACACAUCAUACCAGUCCUAGGGGCCUCAAACAAACAUAUGCCCCAACUACAACACUUCAAACACACAUCAAGCAAGCCACAUUGUUCAAAAAUCACAUAAACCUAACAUAUGCUCAACUAACUCUAACAUGCUUCUCUACCCCUUAAAACUUCAUAAAACUCAUUUAAAACAUACAUUGAGCUUAAGAUCGGCUCUUACCUCUUGAAGAUCGAGAAAGAGACGACUCAACUCGGAGAUCCAAGCACGAGAGCUCCUGAGUUUCCAAAGCUCCAAAACUUGCCUUUAAAGCUUAAAACUUGCAAUGUGGGUUUAAAACUCAAGAAAGAUGGAGGAGAUCUAGUGAAAGAACACAAGAUUUGAGGAGAGGGAGAUCGGAAGCU